rnacentral:rRNA from 1 species
UGGUGGAGUGAUUUGUCUGCUUAAUUACUAUAACGAACGAGACCUCAACCUGCUAAAUAGUUACGUGAACCUUUGCGUUCGUGGACAACUUCUUAGAGGGACUUUUGCGCGUUUUAACCAAAGGAAGUUUGAGGCAAUAACA